GAUAACAGGCUUGUGGCAGCCAAGCAAUCACAGCAACAUCACUUAUUGAUCCUUCAACCUUGGCUCUUCUUAUCGUUGUGAACCAGAAUUCACCAAGUGUUGGAUUGGUCACCCACUGACAGGAAAGAGAGUCAUGAGA
rnacentral:ncRNA from 1 species